rnacentral:rRNA from 1 species
AGUGAACGCUGGCGGUAGGCCUAACACAUGCAAGUCGAACGGCAGCACAGUAAGAGCUUGCUCUUACGGGUGGCGAGUGGCGGACGGUUGAGGAAUACAUCGGAAUCUCCUUUUUCGUGGGGGAUAACGUAGGGAACCUUACGCUAAUACCUCAUACGACCUCCGGUUGAAAGCAGGGGAUCUUCGGACCUUGCGCGAUUGAAUGAGCCGAUGUCGGAUUAGCUAGUUGGCGGGGUAAAGGCCCACCAAGGCGACGAUCCGUAGCUGGUCUGAGAGGAUGAUCAGCCACACUGGAACUGAGACACGGUCCAGACUCCUACGGGAGGCAGCAGUGGGGAAUAUUGGACAAUGGGCGCAAGCCUGAUCCAGCCAUACCGCGUGGGUGAAGAAGGCCUUCGGGUUGUAAAGCCCUUUUGUUGGGAAAGAAAAGCAGCAGGUUAAUACCCCGCUGUUCUGACGGUACCCAAAGAAUAAGCACCGGCUAACUUCGUG